rnacentral:rRNA from 1 species
GUGGGGAAUCUUCCGCAAUGGACGAAAGUCUGACGGAGCAACGCCGCGUGAACGAUGACGGCCUUCGGGUUGUAAAGUUCUGUUAUACGGGACGAAUGGUACGACGGUCAAUACCCGUCGUAAGUGACGGUACCGUAAGAGAAAGCCACGGCUAACUACGUGCCAGCAGCCGCGGUAAUACGUAGGUGGCAAGCGUUGUCCGGAAUUAUUGGGCGUAAAGGGCGCGCAGGCGGCGUCGUAAGUCGGUCUUAAAAGUGCGGGGCUUAACCCCGUGAGGGGACCGAAACUGCGAUGCUAGAGUAUCGGAGAGGAAAGCGGAAUUCCUAGUGUAGCGGUGAAAUGCGUAGAUAUUAGGAGGAACACCAGUGGCGAAAGCGGCUUUCUGGACGACAACUGACGCUGAGGCGCGAAAGCCAGGGGAGCAAACGGGAUUAGAAACCCCAGUAGUCC